rnacentral:rRNA from 1 species
GACAGAGGGUGCAAACGUUGUUCGGAAUCACUGGGCGUAAAGCGCACGUAGGCGGAUCGUUAAGUCGGGGGUGAAAUCCCAGGGCUCAACCCUGGAACUGCCUUCGAUACUGGCGAUCUUCGAGUCCGGGAGAGGUGAGUGGAACUCCGAGUGUAGAGGUGAAAUUCGUAGAUAUUCGGAAGAACACCAGUGGCGAAGGCGGCUCACUGGCCCGGUACUGACGCUGAGGUGCGAAAGCGUGGGGAGCAAAGAGG